CCUACGGGAGGCAGCAGUGAGGAAUAUUGGUCAAUGGACGAGAGUCUGAACCAGCCAAGUAGCGUGAAGGAUGACUGCCCUAUGGGUUGUAAACUUCUUUUAUAUGGGAAUAAAAUGUUCCACGUGUGGGAUUUUGUAUGUACCAUAUGAAUAAGGAUCGGCUAACUCCGUUCCAGCAGCCGCGGUAAUACGGAGGAUCCGAGCGUUAUCCGGAUUUAUUGGGUUUAACGGGAGCGUAGGUGGAUUGUUAAGUCAGUUGUGAAAGUUUGCGGCUCAAACGUAAAAUUGCAGUUGAAACUGGCAGUCUUGAGUACAGUAGAGGUGGGCGGAAUUCGUGGUGUAGCGGUGAAAUGCUUAGAUAUCACGAAGAACUCCGAUUGCGAAGGCAGUUCACUGGACUGCAACUGACACUGAGGCUCGAAAGUGUGGGUAUCAAACAGGAUUAGAUACCCUUGUAGUC
rnacentral:rRNA from 1 species